ACUCAAACCUGCUGCAGGUUCGAGUUGAGCGCAGCGAAACAACGGAGCCGCUCGCGGCGACGGCCCGAAGGGCGAGCGAAGCGAGUCAUCCUGCACGACCCACCA
rnacentral:sRNA from 1 species